rnacentral:rRNA from 1 species
ACACCGGCGGCUCGAGUGGUAACCGUUAUUAUUGGGUCUAAAGGGUCUGUAGCCGGCCGGAUAAGUCUCUUGAGAAAUCUGGCAGCUUAACUGUCAGGCUUUCAGGAGAUACUGUCUGGCUCGAGGCCGGGAGAGGUGAGAGGUACUUCAGGGGUAGGGGUGAAAUCUUGUAAUCCUUGAAGGACCACCAGUGGCGAAGGCGUCUCACCAGAACGGACCUGACGGCAAAGGGACGAAAGCUAGGGGCAC